AACUAUAACGGUCCUAAGGUAGCGAAAUUCCUUGUCAGGUAAGUUCUGACCCGCACGAAAGGCGUAACGAUUUGGGCGCUGUCUCAGCUGUAGACUCGGUGAAGUCUUAGUACCUGUGAAGAUGCAGGUUACCCGCGACUAGACGGAAAGACCCCAUGGAGCUUCACUGCAGGUUGAUAUUGGGAUUUGAUGCAGCAUGUACAGGAUAGGUAGGAGGCAAAGAGAUGGAUACGCCAGUAUUCAAGGAGCCGCUGUUGGGAUACUACCCCUGUUGUAUUGGAUUUCUAACCGGACGACGUAGAGCCGUUGACGGGACAGUGUCAGUCGGGCAGUUUGACUGGGGCGGUCGCCUCCCAAAGAGUAACGGAGGCGCCCAAAGAUACCCUCAGCUUGGAUGGAAACCAAGCGCAGAGUGCAAAGGCAAAAGGGUGUUUGACUGCGAGACCUACAAGUCGAGCAGGGACGAAAGUCGGGCUUAGUGAUCCGGCGGUGCUGAAUGGAAAGGCCGUCGCUCAACGGAUAAAAGCUACCCUGGGGAUAACAGGCUGAUCUCCCCCAAGAGUUCACAUCGACGGGGAGGUUUGGCACCUCGAUGUCGGCUCAUCGCAUCCUGGGGCUGUAUUCGGUCCCAAGGGUUUGGCUGUUCGCCAAUUAAAGCGGUACGCGAGCUGGGUUCAGAACGUCGUGAGACAGUUCGGUCCCUAUCUGUCGUGGGCGCAGGAAAUUUGAGAAGAGCUGUCCUCAGUACGAGAGGACCGGGAUGGACGCAUCAAUGGUGGACCAGUUGUCACGCCAGUGGCAUAGCUGGGUAGCUAAAUGCGGAAGGGAUAAACGCUGAAGGCAUCUAAGUGUGAAACCCACUUCAAGAUGAGAUUUCCCAUUGCGCAAGCAAGUAAGACCCCUUAAAGACGAUAAGGUAGAUAGGUCAGGAGUGUAAGCAUGGUGACAUGUUAAGCGGACUGAUACUAAUAGGUCGAGGGCUUGACCGA
rnacentral:rRNA from 1 species